rnacentral:ncRNA from 1 species
UGAACGACUUGGAUAAGGAGUAGUAAUAAUGCUUACAGGUGUCAGAGAGACAGCGGCCGGUGAAAGCUGUUCCUGGGCAUUAUGAACUCGCCUUUGAUGUCGCAGAAGUGAAUCUGCCAGUAGCUUUUGCCGUCGGCCGCGUUAAGGCUUUCAAGCGGGCGCUUUUUGCGCUAAGUUGGGUGGUACCGCGGGAUUAAUCUCUCGUCCCAUUA